UGUUUGUGCGUUGGUCGUCUUGUGUCCCGUUCGACACCUUUGUGUAAUAAUUUUUGGAGAGGAUAAAAGAUUGUGACAAGUUUACCAACAUUUCUAACUCUGUGGAUACUCGUAAUGUUUGUUGGCUCUUGGGAUGGGCAUAUUUUAAUGAUCAAAGUCCCAACAAAACGUCAAAAAAGCCCGAAAACUAUGAGUUUGAGAUUUGAUUUAUUGAAGAUCGAGAUGCGCACAUGAGACUACAAACCUUGAAGGGAGACGUGAAGUAAUCCCAAUACAUACAAUUGGUACUAUUGACAGAAUGGAUAGGUGUGACAUCUACUGUGGCAAGCUGGUAUUCAAGAGAUUGUCAUUAGUACCAGAAGCUUACUAAUGGUUUAAAUUAUCAAUCUUUUGUUCUCGCCACGCAACUUGCCUCAACUAGCUUAUGCUACAUGCAACUUGUGUCUAUACUUUUUUUGUAACCAUAAAAUUACCAAUAAAGUUUUUGAAAGUUCUGU